UACAGAGGGUGCAAGCGUUGUUCGGAAUUACUGGGCGUAAAGCGCGUGUAGGCGGAACGGCAAGUCUGCUGUGAAAGCCCCUGGCUUAACCGGGGGUGGUCGGUGGAAACUGCCGCUCUGGAGGACGGUAGAGGUAGGUAGAAUUCCCGGUGUAGUGGUGAAAUGCGUAGAGAUCGGGAGGAAUACCUGUGGCGAAGGCGGGUCUCUGGACAGUUCCUGACGCUGAGGCACGAAGGCCAGGGGAGCAAACGGG
rnacentral:rRNA from 1 species